rnacentral:rRNA from 1 species
GGAAAAGAAAUCAACCGAGAUUCCCCCAGUAGCGGCGAGCGAACGGGGAGGAGCCCAGAGCCUGAAUCAGCAUGUGUGUUAGUGGAAGCGUCUGGAAAGGCGCGCGAUACAGGGUGACAGCCCCGUACACAAAAGCGCAUGUGCUGUGAGCUCGAUGAGUAGGGCGGGACACGUGGUAUCCUGUCUGAAUAUGGGGGGACCAUCCUCCAAGGCUAAAUACUCCUGACUGACCGAUAGUGAACCAGUACCGUGAGGGAAAGGCGAAAAGAACCCCGGCGAGGGGAGUGAAAAAGAACCUGAAACCGUGUACGUACAAGCAGUGGGAGCACAGGUUUACCUGUGUGACUGCGUACCUUUUGUAUAAUGGGUCAGCGACUUAUAUUCUGUAGCAAGGUUAACCGAAUAGGGGAGCCGGAGGGAAACCGAGUCUUAAUUGGGCGUUAAGUUGCAGGGUAUAGACCCGAAACCCGGUGAUCUAGCCAUGGGCAGGUUGAAGGUUGGGUAACACUAACUGGAGGACCGAACCGACUAAUGUUGAAAAAUUAGCGGAUGACCUGUGGCUGGGGGUGAAAGGCCAAUCAAACCGGGAGAUAGCUGGUUCUCCCCGAAAGCUAUUUAGGUAGCGCCUCGUGAAUUCAUCUCCGGGGGUAGAGCACUGUUUCGGCUAGGGGGCCAUCCCGGCUUACCAACCCGAUGCAAACUGCGAAUACCGGAGAAUGUUAUCACGGGAGACACACGGCGGGUGCUAACGUCCGUCGUGAAGAGGGAAACAACCCAGACCGCCAGCUAAGGUCCCAAAGUCAUGGUUAAGUGGGAAACGAUGUGGGAAGGCCCAGACAGCCAGGAUGUUGGCUUAGAAGCAGCCAUCAUUUAAAGAAAGCGUAAUAGCUCACUGGUCGAGUCGGCCUGCGCGGAAGAUGUAACGGGGCUAAACCAUGCACCGAAGCUGCGGCAGCGACGCUUAUGCGUUGUUGGGUAGGGGAGCGUUCUGUAAGCCUGUGAAGGUGGCCUGUGAGGGUUGCUGGAGGUAUCAGAAGUGCGAAUGCUGACAUAAGUAACGAUAAAGCGGGUGAAAAGCCCGCUCGCCGGAAGACCAAGGGUUCCUGUCCAACGUUAAUCGGGGCAGGGUGAGUCGACCCCUAAGGCGAGGCCGAAAGGCGUAGUCGAUGGGAAACGGGUUAAUAUUCCCGU